AACGCUGGCGGCGCGCCUAACACAUGCAAGUCGAACGAGAAAGCAGGAGCAAUCUUGUGAGUAAAGUGGCGUACGGGUGAGUAACACGUGGAUCAUCUACCCUCUUGUGGGGGAUAACUCUGGGAAACCGGAGCUAAUACCGCAUAAGUCCGAGAGGAGAAAGCAGCAAUGCGCAGGAGGAGGAGUCCGCGGCCGAUUAGCUAGUUGGUAGGGUAAAAGCCUACCAAGGCUACGAUCGGUAGCCGGCCUGAGAGGGCACACGGCCACACUGGCACUGAAACACGGGCCAGACUCCUACGGGAGGCAGCAGUGGGGAAUCUUGCACAAUGGGGGCAACCCUGAUGCAGCGACGCCGCGUGAGCGAUGAAGCCCUUCGGGGUGUAAAGCUCUUUCGGCAGGGAAGAUUAUGACGGUACCUGCAGAAGCAGCUGCG
rnacentral:rRNA from 1 species